AGCGAACGCUGGCGGCAUGCCUUACACAUGCAAGUCGAACGGAUCCUUCGGGAGUAGUGGCGGACGGGUGAGUAACACGUGGGAACGUGCCCUUUGGUUCGGAACAACUCAGGGAAACUUGUGCUCAUACCGGACGUGCCCUUCGGGGGGAAGAGUUAUCGCCAUUGGAGCGGCGCGCGUCUGAUUAGCUAGUUGGUGAGGUAAAGGCUCACCAAGGCGACGAUCAGUGGCUGGUCUGAGAGGAUGCUCAGCCACAUUGGGCCUGAGACACGGCCCAAACUCCUACGGGAGGCAGCAGUGGGGAAUCUUGCGCAAUGGGCGAAAGCCUGACGAAGCCAUGCCGCGUGAAUGAUGAAGGUCUUAGGAUUGUAAAAUUCUUUCGCCGGGGACGAUAAUGACGGUACCCGGAGAAGAAGCCCCGGCUAACUUCGUGCCAGCCGCCGCCGUAAAAC
rnacentral:rRNA from 1 species